GACGAACGCUGGCGGCGUGCUUAACACAUGCAAGUCGAACGGAAAGGCCCUGCUUUUGUGGGGUGCUCGAGUGGCGAACGGGUGAGUAACACGUGAGUAACCUGCCCUUGACUUUGGGAUAACUUCAGGAAACUGGGGCUAAUACCGGAUAGGAGCUCCUGCUGCAUGGUGGGGGUUGGAAAGUUUCGGCGGUUGGGGAUGGACUCGCGGCUUAUCAGCUUGUUGGUGGGGUAGUGGCUUACCAAGGCUUUGACGGGUAGCCGGCCUGAGAGGGUGACCGGCCACAUUGGGACUGAGAUACGGCCCAGACUCCUACGGGAGGCAGCAGUGGGGAAUAUUGCACAAUGGGCGGAAGCCUGAUGCAGCAACGCCGCGUGCGGGAUGACACCUUCGGGUUGUAAACCGCUUUCGCCUGUGACGAAGCGUGAGUGACGGUAAUGGGUAAAGAAGCACCGGCUAACUACGUG
rnacentral:rRNA from 1 species